rnacentral:rRNA from 1 species
UACGUAGGGGGCGAGCGUUGUCCGGAUUUAUUGGGCGUAAAGAGCUCGUAGGCGGCUCGUCGCGUCGACCGUGAAAACCCGCAGCUUAACUGCGGGCUUGCGGUUGAUACGGGCGGGCUAGAGUUCGGUAGGGGAGACUGGAAUUCCUGGUGUAGCGGUGAAAUGCGCAGAUAUCAGGAGGAACACCGGUGGCGAAGGCGGAUCUCUGGGCCGAUACUGACGCUGAGGAGCGAAAGCGUGGGGAGCGAACAGG